AUUCUCAAUUUCUCUCUAAGGUUGCCCCCGCAGCCAGUGCGGGCCAAGCCGGUUCCAAAGAGCUCAGGAGCAGCACAGAGGAAAACACGUGAGCCUGAAAUAGCAAGCAGGCUGAUAAAGCAGAUAUUUAGCCACUAUGCGAAAAUGCCAGUGACCAGAGAUGCCUAUAAAAUUGUUGAAAAAUGCUCUGAGAGAUACUUCAAGCAGAUUAGCAGUGACCUGGAAGCUUACAGCCAGCAUGCAGGAAGGAAGACGGUGGAGAUGGUUGAUGUGGAACUCCUCAUGAGAAGGUAAAGGAAAGGUGUUAUUAACCACCUGUUUUGGUGGUCUGUGUUGCACUGAUAGCCCCAUAAGACUGUCAUUGCCUAGGUAUGCACACAAGCAGUGUUUUCACUGUGAGUGUCAUAACUUGUGACUUGUUCUGUGUGAUACAGCUUGGCUUUUUGUCCCAAAAACAUUUAUGGGCUUGAAUUUCUAUAGUCUAAGGCCAGUGUGGUAGAGGGCAGGAAGAAGUAUUGAGGGUUGGGAAUGAAUGAGUCUGAGAAACAGGUAGCAAGAGGAGGGGAAUGUGUGCAGGGCUGAAGCAGAUAGGGCUGGGACAUGAAAGGUGUGGGUAGAAAACACAGGUGAGUAACAGUAAGUGCAAGGCUAGGCUGUUUGCAUCCCUGAGAGCACUUGCAACUGAAAUAGGGACUGCAAACACUCACAUUACUGUCCUCCAAACAAAAUCCCACUCUAACUGUUCCUUGCCAAAGCAGGAAAAAGACUCUCUGGCCUGGCUUCUCCUGGUAACACUGUUCCUCCUCUUGCUGCUGCAAGACCCCACAGAGAGCCUGCAUCCUGCAUGGGAUGUUCUCAGAUCCUCUUUAGUACAACUCUUCUCGUUGGUCUCCCUCAACUCCCCCAUCUUAUGACUGGACUUACGUUGUCCUGCGACCAAAAUACAGGGUCUUGUUCUUGGGUUGGAAACCCUCUGUAAAACUGAGGCCUGAAGCAUUUCCCACUCCUCAUCUGAAGUCAUGGAAGUUGUUAUUCUAGUUUGCCCUGGAAGAGUUUCUUUCAGAUGCUAUGUUAAAGUAAAUGGUUUUGUGUGGGCUUGAGUACCAGGAGCUGGUGCUGCUGCUUAGAAAGAAUUAAUCUCUUGCUGUCUAGAGAAUUCGUUUUCCCACCUGACAGCUGUGUUAAAAUAAUAAAACAGGUCAAGAAGCAUGAUGGCUUAGUUGACCAGGUUUGAGGAUUCUGUAUACUUGUUCUACCUUUUUUCCAAUGUCUUUAUGCCUUUCCACUGCCUCCUAAAGAGAUCAGGAGUUGUUACCAGUUGAAGAAUAAGAACAGUAUUUCUAGUCUUCCUGCAGAGAAAGCAUGCAUAAAGGCUGCUGUUUCUCUCUGUGAGACUGGGAGAUAAUGAUCUUUUUUUUUUUU